rnacentral:rRNA from 1 species
UCAGGAUGAACGCUGGCGGCGUGCUUAACACAUGCAAGUCGAACGAUGAUCCCAGCUUGCUGGGGGAUUAGUGGCGAACGGGUGAGUAACACGUGAGUAACCUGCCCUUAACUCUGGGAUAAGCCUGGGAAACUGGGUCUAAUACCGGAUAUGACUCCUCAUCGCAUGGUGGGGGGUGGAAAGCUUUAUUGUGGUUUUGGAUGGACUCGCGGCCUAUCAGCUUGUUGGUGAGGUAAUGGCUCACCAAGGCGACGACGGGUAGCCGGCCUGAGAGGGUGACCGGCCACACUGGGACUGAGACACGGCCCAGACUCCUACGGGAGGCAGCAGUGGGGAAUAUUGCACAAUGGGCGAAAGCCUGAUGCAGCGACGCCGCGUGAGGGAUGACGGCCUUCGGGUUGUAAACCUCUUUCAGUAGGGAAGAAGCGAAAGUGACGGUACCUGCAGAGAG